rnacentral:rRNA from 1 species
AUGCUAGUCGAACGCACAGAACUAUGUCUGGGAGUGGCACACUGCUCAGUAACACGUAGCUAACCUACCCUUAGGACGUGGAUACCCCCGAGAAAUUGGGGUUAAUCCGCGAUAGAUGUAAUGUCCUGGAAUGGUAUUACGUCUAAAGGUAUUUCAUACAUGUUUGAAAUAUGCCUAAGGAUGGGGCUGCGGCCGAUCAGGCUGUUGGUGAGGUAAUGGCUCACCAAACCUUUGACCGGUACGGGCCAUGAGAGUGGUAGCCCGGAGAUGGACACUGAGACAAGGGUCCAGGCCCUAAGGGGCGCAGCAACCGCGAAACCUCCACAAUGCACUCACGUGCGAUGGGGCUAUCUCGAGUGCCACCUGAUGAAGGUGGCUUUUCCUUGGUCUUCAAAGCCUUGGGAAUAAGAGGGGGGCAAGACUGGUGUCAGCCGCCGCGGUAACACCAGCCCCUCGAGUGGUGGGGAUGAUUAUUUGGCCUAAAGCGUCCGUAGCCGGCCGUGAAAGUCUUCCGUUAAAUCCAGCGUCUCAAGCGUUGGACCGCGGGAGAUACUACAUGGCUAGAGAGUGGGAGAGGUCAGCGGUAUUCUGGGGGUAGGGGCGAAAUCCUUUGAUCCCCGGAGGACCACCAGUGGCGAAGGCUGCUGACUAGAACACGUCUGACGGUCAGGGACGAAAGCUGGGGUAGCGAACCGGAUUAGAUACCCGGGUAGUCCCAGCCGUAAACGAUGCAUGCUAGGUGUUGGGUUGGCCACGAGCCACCCCAGUGCCGCAGGGAAGCCGUUAAGCAUGCCGCCUGGGAAGUACGAUCGCAAGAUUGAAACUUAAAGGAAUUGGCGGGGGAGCACCACCAGGCGUGAAGCCUGCGGUUUAAUUGGAUUCAACGCCGGG